rnacentral:rRNA from 1 species
AUGAAGAAUGGAGGACAAUCUGCGGGAGCGGCGGCAGCGGUAGUCUUCGAUGCUUGUUACUUCAUGGCAUGUGAUUUUUCUUUAACUAGAUCUGAACAUUGUAAUAGGGUAGCUAAUAAGGUUGCUCGUGAACUUGCUAGGCUAGCGAAAUUUUCUGUAACUAGAGAUUGCUUCAUGUCGGCUCUCAUCUAUUGUGUCACAGAGGAAGGUGUGGCUGGUUGCGUCUUUGAAGGUGGGGGAUGGGUGAAACAGAGAAAGGGAAAGAGAAAGAGAGGAAGGGGAACAAGAGCAGGCUCGCGUGCCGCCGUGGCCGCUCGACGCCGUCACCGGCGACCGGCGCGGCCCCAACCCGCCGCAUCGAGAAAGCCCCGCACCUCUCUGCCUCUCUCUCGGUCCAGUAGGAAGCUGUGGAUGGGGGAGAGCAGGAGGAGCAAGGGGAAGAGCGGCGUGGCGCUGUGGCCGUCGACGCUGUCGCCGGCGACCGGCGCGACCGGACCGGCCGACAGAGAGACGAGCGGCGCGUGCGAGAGGAGAAGCAAAAUGAGGCUAGGGUUCAGGCGGUGA